rnacentral:rRNA from 1 species
CCUACGGGUGGCUGCAGUCGAGAAUCAUUCACAAUGGGGGAAACUCUGAUGGUGCGACGCCGCGUGGGGGAAUGAAGGUCUUCGGAUUGUAAACCCCUGUCAUGUGGGAGCAAAUGAAAAAGAUAGUACCACAAGAGGAAGGGACGGCUAACUCUGUGCCAGCAGCCGCGGUAAUACAGAGGUCUCAAGCGUUGUUCGGAAUCACUGGGCGUAAAGCGUGCGUAGGCUGUUUCGUAAGUCGUGUGUGAAAGGGGCGGGCUCAACCCGCGGACGGCACAUGAGACUGGGAGACUAGAGUACUGGAGGGGGAAGCGGAAUUCCCGGUGUAGCAGUGAAAUGCGUAGAUAUCGAGAGGAACACUCGUGGCGAAGGCGGGUUCCUGGACAUUAACUGACGCUGAGGCACGAAGGCCAGGGGAGCGAAAGGGAUUAGAUACCCCAGUAGUC